rnacentral:misc_RNA from 1 species
AACGCAAAUGGCACUCUAUGGUAUUCCGUAGAGUACGUCUGUUUGAGCGUCGCGAACAUCUCCACAAUUAGUUUUUUUAAUUAGUUGAGGGUUUUGAGGUUGUCAUAUAAACAGUGACUCCCUUUAAAAUAAUUAGUGAUGACCUUAUGAAUGGGUUAAUACUGUGUGUUAUAAUGGAUUAUAUCCAUCACCAGUCAGAGAGUAAUCUCGCCUUAGUAAUUUGUAGUGAUUGCUUCUAACUGCCAAUUGGCAACAACCUGAUCAAAUCGACCUCAAAUCAGAUGGGAUUACCCGCUGAACUUAA